AUGAGCGAGAUCGCGGCCAUCGUCCUCAUGUUCUUGCCCGAGGACGAUGCCUUCUGGGCGCUGGCCCAGCUGAUGGUGUCGCCUGCUGACGACAGGCACGGUAGGGGCCCGCCGGGCCGCCGGGCGGGAGGGGAGUCAGGAGGGCCUCCCUGCAGGCUGCUCCGGGGGGCAGGCGGGGACCCCCCCAGCCCACCCCCCCACGGGCAAGGGCCCCACCUCCCCGGUGGCCUCGGGGUCCUGGAGCCACGGCCACCCGCCCCACCGUCUGCAGGCCAGGCUCGCACUCCCGCUGCUCCCCCAGCCUCCCGCCCGGCUGCCUGCUUGCCCCCCAGGCCCCCCUGCCAGCCCACGGCCACACGGGGCCCAGGGGGCAGCGUCUCUCCCUCCCGGGGGCCCCCAGCCUCACUCCCAAGCCCCACAGAGGGCCGUGCACGCCCAUCACCCUCCCCGUGGUCUGCACCCGCUGCCCCUUGGGGCUGGGGACCUGCUGUCCCCAUGGCGGCCCCUGCAGGAGAGAGGGUGCUGGGUCAGCCGGGCCUGGUCCUCAGCCCCCAGCCCACGCCCCGUGGGGUCUCUGAGGACAAGGGUCCCCGGGCCCCGCACCCCCGGCCUGGGAGGCAGCCCUGCCCUCUGGGAAGAGCGGGUCCAGUCAGGGCUCCGAGGGCGGUGGGCACACGGGGGUCAGGGCGUGGGGGGAGGCCCCUGCCCCGACACCCCCCACCCCGCCUGGUGCAGGAGGAGGCCCUGACCGUGGGGGCCUGGGGCCUUCUCAGGCUUCUUCGUCCCGGGCUUCCAGAAGCUCCUCAGGUUCCAGGCUCAUCACGAGCGCGUCCUCGAAAGAGCUCUCCCCGACCUGAGGAAGCACAUGGCGAGUGGGAGCUUCUGAGGCUCCAUCCCCCGGCCCGGGGUAGGGGGUCGGGGGCACGGCCCUCCGAGAUCCCCAGAGUUGGGGUCACGUUCCUCCCCCUGGGGCCCGGGGGCGCCCUCGGGGCUGGGCUGGGCCGUGGGGAGCGCGUCCACCCGGCUCCAGGGGCCGCAGCGUGGGGCCUGAGCACCUCCUGCCCUCCCGCCAGGACGAGGAGCAGAUGUCCACCGGCAUCUAUACCCCAAAGUGGUUCCUGCAGUGCUUCCUCGGCCGGACCCCCUUCUCGCUCACCCUGAAGCUGUGGGAUGCCUACGUCCUUGAUGGGGAGAGGGUGCUCACGGCCAUGGCCUACACCAUCCUCAAGGUGCACAGGAAGCACCUCCUGAAGCUGCCCCUGGAAGGGCUCCGGGAGUUCCUCCAGGACUCUCUGGCCCAGCCCUGGGCCCUGGAGGAUGAGGCGGUGCUCAGACACCUUCGGGCCUCCAUGACCCUGCUCCGGAGGAUGCGGUGCGACCUGCCCCCGCCCCAGGUGGGCUCAGGGCCCCGGCCCCUCCCGACUUGGCCUGCUGGGACUGCCCACAGGGGACAGAGCCCCCGGGGCCCCCGUCCUCAUCUCUGGGGCUCUCCUCUUCUGCUCCAGCCUCGGGGACCCCAGGCCAGGGCUGGGCAGGCGGGCACCCACUGCAGGGCUCGGGCACCAGUGUGGGGGGCUGAGCACAGGGUCAGGCCGGGGGGCCACGCGGGAGCUGUGAGGACCCCCGGGGCCCCCAGCGGGGGACACACAGCCUGCUGGAGAUGCUGACCCCGUCGGCCUCUUUCCAGCGGGACCUGAGGAGUUCCCCACGAGGCCCCUGGGCCUGGAGCAAGUGUCCCUGGCGCCCGGGCCUCUCCUCUCUUCUCCAGCCUCUGAGCCACCGCCCAGGGUAGAGGAGCAGGUCUCCCAGGGCCCAGCCACCCAGCCUGAGCCGCCCAGACCCCCUCCCAGCCAGGCCUUCGUCCAACUUCCCCCCCCCAGUGCUGGAGCUCCCUCCCCACCCUCCCAGUGCAACAGGACGGUGCAGGCAGGCGGCCUCCAGACAUGGUGGGCUUCAAGACAAAUACGGGGUCCCCUUCCAUUCGGCACCUGCCUGGGCCACCCCAGAGGCCCCGCGACGGACCAGGCCCUGGAGCACCCCCGGGACUCCCAUCACGGGGUCCCCCCAGCCCCCUAGGGACGACGCUGUCGGGCCCAGGACACCCUUCCUGCCCCGCGGCCACUGCAGCUCGUGCCCCUCGCUGGGCAGUGACGGGCACAGCCAGGGCAGAGCCAGGGUGGCGCUGAGCCUGCUGCCCCGAGGCCCCGCACAGGCCUGGGACCCUCUGCCCUCCGUGUCCAUGGGGCAGCUUGAUGCUCGCCGGCCUCGGGGGCAGAGCGUGGCGGUGAGGGCGGGGGCCCGGAGGCUCUGGCCUGCUGUCACCGUGCCCUGCCUCGUCUCGCUGUCCCUCCCAGAGGGCGGCACCCCCCGCAUAGGACACCAGCCCCUGACCCAGAAGGACCUGGGCUGGCCUGGCCCCGGGCUCUGUGGGGGCAGGGGCGACUCGAGCCCCCCCCAGGCCCAGCACUAAUGGGAUCCAGUGCCCCAGGGCCCUGGCCAGGCCUGCGUUCUGGCCCCGGGCUGAGCGAGCCCUCUCACAGCCGGAUGUGGCCUCCUGGGCCCUGGGUGUGCCCCACAGAUCCAGGUCGCUGACCUAGGGCAGCCCUGGGGAUCCCGGGACACCCCAGGGCAGGGCAGCAGGGGCAGGCCCGUGGGCCCCACCCGCACCCACACCAGGAGGCAGGUUCCUCCAUGUGCUGGGGCUCCAGCAGUCAGUCACCCGGCCCCAGGGGGCCCAAGGCCAGGGUCCAGCUGCCCUGCGGGGACCCAGCGCAGGAGCCCAUGGGCCGCAGGUCCAGGUCAGCCCUGCUGUCCCCAGAACCGCCUCUCAACGCCCCAACCUAGGACACACGCCCCCACCCGGAGUCGAGUCCGCACAGGCUCCCAGGUGGGGGAUUCCAGCACCUGCACCCCUGUGGGAUUCCCGCUUUCCUCUAAGGACAGGAAGGUCUCCCAGGAGAAGGCACGCACCCUCGGCUCUGAGUCCCUGUUUGCUGUUGCAAGUUCAAUAAAGUGUUGUUGUGUGAAAAUGCA
rnacentral:lncRNA from 12 species